rnacentral:lncRNA from 1 species
UUGUCACCUAAUAACUUACACCAGACAAUGUAGUUCAUCAGGUUUUCCUAGACUAUAAGUUUAUAGCUUUAUGCUGCGUUUGGUUGGAGUCUUGGAGAGAAUGGGAUGUUGAAUGAAACGUUGGGAAGAAAAUCAAAGCUAAAAAAGUGGUGGAAGAUAGAAUAGUUAAAAAAUGUGAAUGCAAAUUUUUCUAUGAGGAUUUGUGGAAAAAGAUGAGUAGAAGUAGGAAAGAAGCAUCAGUAUUCAUCCACUAAGUUGUGGGAUCAAGCUCUUCCACAAAUAUGUGUCAAAGGAAUGGAAUUAGGACUCUUUUCCUAUACAUUACAAAUUUCUUUCAAUUUCAAGCUACAUACAUUCGUUCCAAACCAUAGUGCUGGGUUACAGAACGAGUCUUAUAGUUAGAUGUAUAUGUCUCUCAUAGAAGCAUUUAACUUUGAGUUAUCAACAGAGAGUUGUGAAUCUUGAGCUGGUUCCACCCAAUGUUUGAUUAGUCUUGCGUGUUUAUCUUGUCUCGUGAAUACUAUUUCAGCCUUCUCAGUAGAUUUAUUAGUCUAAAUCCAUAAUGUGUUGCUUUUCACUAGAGUAUGAAGUUGAUUAUAUACAUAAAUUGUGGAGGGCAUUGUCUUGGAGUUUCCACCGCUCUUUUUGUUUAGUUCCACCCUGUCCUCCAACCAUAUAUAUGCAGGCAAUUGAUAAUUAGAAACCAAAAUUAUAAUAGAAACUAAUCUACACUACUACUUUUUUUUUUUGUAAAAUAGAUUUUGUAUAAUCUUACCUGCAUAUAUAAUUCACAUUCAAUAUAUAUACAUAUCUUUUUCUCCCCUAUCAUGUUCAUGUGUCUCCCUUUCAUCAUUUCCUCUUCAAUAUUCACAGCCUCCAUCACAACAUUGCCAUUUGCAAACUGCAAACAUCAAUUUUUACUGCCCCUGUAAAAACACCAACAUUCACGGUCAUUUUCUUCUUAAUUAGCAGCAAUCUCUGGCGGGUGACCUUGUUGAUGGGGAGUUUUAUUUUUGGGAUCUUCUCUUUCUCUCUCCCUAAUGACACUCAUUCUAUGUAAUCAUAGAGUGUUUUUGUCACCUAAUAACUUACACCAGACAAUGUUGUUCAUCAGGUUUUUCUAGACUAUAAGUUUAUAGCUUAAUGCUGCGUUUGGUUGGAGUCUUGGAGAAAAUGGGAUGUUGAAUGAAACAUUGGGAAGAAAAUCAAAGCUAAAAAAGUGGUGGAAGAUAGUAUAGUUAAAAAAUGUGAAUGCAAAUUUUUCUAUGAGGAUUUGUGGAAAAAGAUGAGUAGAAGUAGGAAAGAAGCAUCAGUAUUCAUCCACUAAGUUGUGGGAUCAAGCUCUUCCACAAAUAUGUGUCAAAGGAAUGGAAUUAGGACUCUUUUCCUAUACAUUACAAAUUUCUUUCAAUUUCAAGCUACAUACAUUCGUUCCAAACCAUAGUGCUGGGUUACAGAACGAGUCUUAUAGUUAGAUGUAUAUGUCUCUCAUAGAAGCAUUUAACUUUGAGUUAUCAACAGAGAGUUGUGAAUCUUGAGCUGGUUCCACCCAAUGUUUGAUUAGUCUUGCGUGUUUAUCUUGUCUCGUGAAUACUAUUUCAGCCUUCUCAGUAGAUUUAUUAGUCUAAAUCCAUAAUGUGUUGCUUUUCACUAGUCUAUGAAGUUGAUUAUAUACAUAAAUUGUGGAGGGCAUUGUCUUGGAGUUUCCACCGCUCUUUUUGUUCAGUUCCACCCUGUCCUCCGACCAUAUAUAUGCAGGCAAUUGAUAAAUAGAAACCAAAAUUAUAAUAGAAACUAAUCUACACUACUACCUUUUUUUUUCCGUAAAAUAGAUUUUGUAUAAUCUUACCUGCAUAUAUAAUUCACAUUCAAUAUAUAUAUACAUAUCUUUUUCUCUCCUAUCAUGUUCAUGUGUCUCCCUUUCAUCAUUUCCUCUUCAAUAUUCACAGCCUCCAUCACAACAUUGCCAUUUGCAAACUGCAAACAUCAGUUUUUACUGCCCCUGUAAAAACACCAACAUUCACGGUCAUUUUCCUCUUAAUUAGUAGCAAUCUCUGGC